UACGUAGGCAGCGAGCGUUGUUCGGAGUUACUGGGCGUAAAGGGUGUGUAGGCGGUUUUCUAAGUUUGGUGUGAAAUCUCCCGGCUCAACCGGGAGGGUGCGCCGAAAACUGGGAGACUAGAGUGCGGGAUGGGAGAGUAGAAUUCCAGGUGUAGCAGUGAAAUGCGUAGAUAUCUGGAGGAACACCGAUGGCGAAGGCAGCCCCCUGGGCUAACACUGACGCUGAUGCACGAAAGCGUGGGGAGCAAACAGG
rnacentral:rRNA from 1 species